rnacentral:rRNA from 1 species
CGUUAGGAGGGAAACGAAUGCAGCUGAAGUGGCUCCGUAUCAGGUUCAGGGGGUGUCGGCGGAUAUUCCGGGUGUGGGCAGCUAGCGCGUCCUCGCUCGGAUAGGACGUCGACUUCCCUGCACUCCCGUUGGGAGCCGGCCAACAGCGGUUGCCCGUGGCCCAGAAGGUCGGUCGGGAGGUGACUCUGCACUCGUGCAGAGAGCGUAUAGCCGUCCGUCCGGAGGUCUGGGGGCGACCGAGGAGAGUCGUGAGUCUUCACGUGUGCGGCGCAGGCCCUAGCGGGCCGGGUCGCCUCUGUCCGUUUGGGCCCCGCGACGGGGACUGCUUGCAGUGUCCGCCGACGGUCAGUCUGCUCGGUCGGGGGAUCGACCACGCCCUGCGCUCCGGUUGUUGGUGCUCAAAUGGCUGCAUCCGACCC